AACAGCCAACGGCGACCACUUGUUACAUCACGCCACCACGCCGCUCCACAUUUAUCGAAAAUCACCGGUGUAUAAAAUAACGUACCAGUGCUUAGUUUCGGCAUAACGCAAUUUUCGUGCAAAUCUAAUCUUCAUUUUCACUUUACUCCUCAAAAACCAAACCAAAAACCAAAAAUGGGCGCUGAAAAAGUAACCAUGAACAUCGUCGUCGUCGGACAAGUCCAAUCUGCCAAGGCCAUCAAAUCGGUCGCCAAAGCCACCCCAGCCACCAGCCAAUUGAUGAACUGUUAAUUCAUGAAAUCCACAUCAAUCUCAAACUCAAAAAUGCCAUAGCCCGAACAGUACAUAAUUUUAUAAUUUGUUUCUAAUUAUAAUAAUGCGUAUUGACAUUGCAAAAUAAAUCAGUCGUUUCCGUCAAUUAA